rnacentral:misc_RNA from 1 species
AAGUCGUAACAAGGUUUCCGUAGGUGAACCUGCGGAAGGAUCAUUAACGAGUUAGGGUCUUCUAGGCCCGACCUCCCAACCCUAUGUUUAUUGAACCUCUGUUGCUUCGGCGGACCCGCCUCACGGCCGCCGGAGGACCGCUGCAAGGCGUCCUCUGGCCAGCGCCCGCCGAUGGCCAACCACUUAAACUCUGAAUGAAUCGUGUCAUAUGUCUAAAGUCUAUGAUUAAAUUAAAGCAAAACUUUCAACAACGGAUCUCUUGGUUCUG